rnacentral:rRNA from 1 species
GAUGAACGCUGACAGAAUGCUUAACACAUGCAAGUCGAUGGGGAAGUGGUGCUUGCACCAUGGUAACCAUGGCGGACGGGUGAGUAACGCGUAAGGAACUUGCCUGCGGGACUGGGAUAACAGCAGGAAACUGCUGAUAAUACCGGAUAAGGUCAUUAAGCUGCAUAGCUUAGUGAUGAAAGGAGACGCCUGCGGAGAGCCUUGCGUCCUAUUAGCUAGUUGGAGGGGUAACGGCCCACCAAGGCGAAGAUAGGUAGCCGGCCUGAGAGGGUGGACGGCCACAAGGGGACUGAGAUACGGCCCUUACUCCUACGGGAGGCAGCAGUGGGGAAUAUUGGACAAUGGGGGCAACCCUGAUCCAGCAAUUCUGUGUGCACGAAGACGGUUUUCGGAUUGUAAAGUGCUUUCAGCAGGGAAGAAGUAAGUGACGGUACCUGCAGAAGAAGCGACGGCUAAAUACGUGCCAGCAGCCGCGGUAAUACGUAUGUCGCGAGCGUUAUCCGGAAUUAUUGGGCAUAAAGGGCAUCUAGGCGGCCUUUCAAGUCAGGGGUGAAAACCUGCGGCUCAACCGCAGGCCUGCCUUUGAAACUGAUAGGUUGGAGUACCGGAGAGGUGGACGGAACUGCACGAGUAAAAGGUGAAAUUCGUAGAUAUGUGCACGAUUGCCGAUGUUAAAGAUAGUUCACUGGCGGGUCCUGACGCUGAAGUGCGAAGCCAGGUCAUGAACUGUAUUAGACAUCCUGUCUUUUAAGGGUACUUCUACCUUUGUUUACCCCUUUCCCCCCCCCGCGGGGGUUGUGUUUCUUUUUAUAA